GGAAAAAUGAAAGAUACAAAGCUUACACAUACGAGUCAUCAAUUUGCCAAUGCAGAUUAUUUGGAAUUUUUCAAGUAUUUAAUGAUACUAUUACAAAGUUUCUAUUCCUUUCAUUGCCGCUCUCGUCAAAGUCAUUUUGGAUUCGCGUCUACCAACAGAUUGCCAUAAAACUUUAUUGGCCUUGAAAUUUGUUUUCAUGUCUCUACGCAGAAUAGACAAAAUCGUGAAAGGUGACCUCCGUUUUAAAGUAAUAUGAUUUCUGCUAUGGACAACACUCGGUUGAUCUAUUAUACAGAUCAUCAUUGCAGUCGUUUGUGCAGCCAUAUAUAAAUUUAUCUUUGUUUCGAUAAAAAAAAAAAAAGAAGAAUCGUGAGUUUUCUCCGUUAAUUCAUGUUUAUGUGUGUUUUGCGAUUUCAAUUAAUUUUUAGAAACGUGUAUUUGAAUAGACUGCACACAAAGCAGUCACAACCAUAAGUUGUUUUAAAGUUUUAUUUAUAUAUAUUUUUUGUAGUCAUAUAUACUAUACUUGUAUAUAAACUAAACAAUAGAUAUUCGACAAUUAAUUCAUUGUCCGUUUCUUAAUUAAUAAAUGAUUAUCGCGUAUUAAAGUCAAUGCAUCAUGGAAGAUGAUCAAGAACUUCUAUACAAAAUACUUCUAUACAAAAAUAUUGAUCAUCAUUGCAUUCAAAUUAAGUCGAUCUUCAAUCACUACAACUUUAAUCUCUCUUAUUUUGGAUAUACAAUGUGGACGAGUUUUUUGGAACCACCUUGAAACUUCCAAAAGAAUUCUUAACUCUCCUCAACACGUUUUGGGUUCAUUGUCGAUCACAAAUUUUUUUCUAAGGAGCUCGUCUUAACCGCUAGAAAGAUGCACGUUUUCAAAAAUUCGCCAAAUUGUUCAGCGACGCUAAAAGAUCAUCAAGUUACACCUUUCAUAACAUGUGCGGAAUACCAUUCGAGAAUUAUGGAUGAGAGGAAUACGAAGAGGAAUCAAAGAGAUGGUUCUUGGAUUCUUAAGAAACUAUGCUCGUCGCGUACAAGGGAAGCGAGGUGAAAAGAGACUUCCUGAGAGCAAUCAUUAUCGGAGCAUCAGUUUAGAAUACCUCAAUUAUCGAACGAAAUUCGAGGACCUUGUAUCAUGUUGAGGGAAGGGGUAUGAAAGAUGCGCAAAAUAAUUGUCUCCUGGAAAAAAUAACAUACAGUAACCAAAGGAAGAAAAGACUGCAUUGCGUGUUCUGUGAAAGUUGUCAUAUUCAGACAAUGGUGCUACGAAUGAAAAUAUAAAAAAAGAAAAUAAAUGCGAACGAAAAUAGACAGAAAGAAACCAUUUUUUCGCAGCACCCUUCCCUUCAUCCAUGGUCAGCAGCCGACUGCCGACGGGAAGAAUGCGGAACCCCUUACAACAGGGAUUGCACAAAAAUGUAGUGAGUGCAGUUCUCGGUCAAUAAUAACGAAAAAUAGAAGCUGUAUAAAUCCAAAAGCGAUCCAGUUCUAGCUAUUUAUAUAUAUAUACAUACAUAUAGUUAUAUCUUGGCUACAUAUCUCUUUCAUAUAUACAUUGUUUAUAAAAUAGUGCAUCUCUACCAUUGAUACUUCGUACCGAGCAGUGCAUUUAAUAACAUCGAAUUGUAUAUGUAAUAUACUUAUAAGGAUCUAUAUCUGCGAAACACAUGAUUUCCAGAAGUGAAAAUUUUUUAUAUUUCAGAUUUACUAUCUCAUACCAUAACAUCUGUCAAAUUUCGUCUCGAUUAGCUACAAGUGCUUUUAUGAAGUACAACCGAAAUUUGUUAAAAUAUUUUCUUUGCGAAACUGUUACU